UCUGACUGACCGCAGAACUCUCAAGAACUGCGAUGUCGCUGCAAGAUAUACCAUUUACGUUAAACAGCUUACGUACGUCGCUCCCUGGAAAACUAACAAUUUGAACUUGGCACGUUUCAACUGCCGUUUGCGACGGUUACAUUUACGACGCCGAGGUGGCAGCACUUGCCUACUGGAGCAGCUAUAGUCGGCUGCUGGGUUUGCGACGCAUUAAGAGAAAGCUGUUACUCAGCUAAACGGCCGUGACGGCAACACGCAAUAGAACACGGGGUUCGAAGAAGCAGAAUGUUUAGACACUUUAGAUUGCGUUUAGCGGCCUGUCUACAGCUUUUGCAUAACUCCUCCAUGGAACAAUCGAGUACUAGCCUCCGAGUGAACAAUACACAAGGUCCGUCUCCCAGGGAACAAUGCUACAUCAGGGAGCGAUGAACUCAUCCCGUGUCCCGACUGCUGAGUACUGACAAUCAACUCAAUGCUCAAGGACUUUGUGGACACUGCGCUGAUAGAAUGAAUACGUACCUACUGUAGGGGCUUGCACCAGGCAAGCUGGAGAAGAAUGGAGCCAUCGUACAUGCUCGAGUACAAUGCCUGACACACCCCAUUUGGCUGAAAGAAAAAAAAAGUUGUUUUCUUUUCAUCAUCUGCCCGCGCGAAAU
rnacentral:lncRNA from 1 species